GAUGAACGCUAGCGGCAGGCCUAAUACAUGCAAGUCGGACGGGAUUGGAGAGCUUGCUUUCCAUGAGAGUGGCGCACGGGUGCGUAACACGUAUGUAACCUACCUUGUUCAGGGGGAUAGCCUCUCGAAAGAGAGAUUAAGACCGCAUAACAUUGCGAUGUGGCAUCACAUUGUAAUCAAAUAUUUAUAGGAACAAGAUGGGCAUGCGGAACAUUAGCUAGUUGGUAAGGUAACGGCUUACCAAGGCUACGAUGUUUAGGGGAUCUGAGAGGAUGACCCCCCACACUGGUACUGAGACACGGACCAGACUACUACGGGAGGCAGCAGUAAGGAAUAUUGGUCAAUGGGCGGAAGCCUGAACCAGCCAUGCCGCGUGCAGGAAGACGGCCCUAUGGGUUGUAAACUGCUUUUGCAGGGGAAUAAACCUUGGUACGUGUACCAAGCUGAAUGUACUCUGAGAAUAAGGAUCGGCUAACUCCGUGCCAGCAGCCGCGGUAA
rnacentral:rRNA from 1 species